AGAAUGAACGCUGGCGGCGUGCUUAACACAUGCAAGUCGAGCGAGGCCAGGGGGGGCAACUCCCUGAGUCGAGCGGCGGACGGGUGAGUAACACGUGGGUAACCUACCCGGAAGUGGGGAAUACCUCGGGGAAACUCGAGCUAAUACCGCAUAACAUCUCGAGGACGAAAGUUCUUGUGAUCAAAGCGGGGCCGCAAGGCCUCGUGCUACCGGAUCGGGCCCGCGCCCGAUUAGCUAGUUGGCGAGGUAAUGGCUCACCAGGCGACGAGUCGGUAACCGGCCUGAGAGGGCGAUCGGUCACGACCGGAACUGAGACACGGUCCGGACUCCGUACGGGAGCGAGCGAGGUAGGGAAUCGU
rnacentral:rRNA from 1 species